CGCAGAGAGAUACUUUACCUCUUUUCGAUCAAAAUAUUGAUACAAUUUAGAUUAUUCAAGAGAUCUUACGAAAUAUUGAACAACAAUGAUGUCUAUAAAUGUGUCACAAUGAAGGAUGGAGUUCAUUUACCCAAAGGGUUGGCAGGCUGUUUCCGACGUAAAUGCGUGACAUGCAAUUCUGGCUGCUCAACUCGGAUGUCGGAUCUCCUCAGCUGAUAAAAGAAGUCAUACAUCUGAGAUGGCAUGAGGGUGAGUAAAUUAUAUUUUUUAAUUAACCAUGUCACAUGUUGGAUGGGUAGCCCUGCC